UUCUGUGGCUUAGCUGGUUAAAGCGCCGGACUAGUGAAUACGAAGUCGUGGGUUCAAAUCCCACCUGAA
rnacentral:tRNA from 1 species